rnacentral:lncRNA from 10 species
GUCUCUUCUGGGCUAAGCCCCGCCACCGCGGCCGAGCAGGGCGGGCCCGGACCUUCGACCCACGCUCCGGGCAGAUGCCGGUGGCCUUGGAGGACCCGCCCUCCGGCCUGCCGGGCCUUUCCUCGGGGAGGCUGUAGCUGAGAUCCCCGCCCCGCCGUCCAACCCCGCGAGACGAGCCCCCUCUCCUCUCCCGCCCGGGCCUCACCUCUCCUGCAGGAAACGAGUGCAGGCGCCGGGCCGUGGUACUGGGGAAGGGCGCCGGCGGCAGCGGCGACGCCCGGUGAGCACCUCCACGCGCUGCUGCGCCCGGCCGGGGGUGCGGCAUACCCGAGGCGCGAGCGCUCCCAGUCCCCGAGCUGCCGGCGCGGGGCUGCGGCGGCCAAGCGCGGGGAGGGCACUAGCAGGAGGAGGAGCAGCGGUGAGGCACGUGACACGCCGCCGCGGGCCGCCGGGGCGCGAGGGCGCAGCGCCCCCAGACCGUCGGAGAGCGCAGAGAGGCAGCGGCGUGCUGAGGUUUCGCUGCCGCCCGGUCUUCCGCUGAGGCCCACGGGCAAGAAGAGAAGCCGCUGGCGGCCGGGCAGGCGCUGGGUCCUCUGGCCGCCGACCGAGCCGCAGUCCAUCCCCGAGCAGUUCACUGGCCCGGGCGCGCGCUCAUGCCUCUCGCUUUUGGCGCCGGCCACGCGCGGUCCAGGCCCAGAGUCCGACAGCGGGAGCGAGCGUGGGCCACAGCGCAGGACCGCCCUUUCCUGCCGGGCGCGCGGGCGGGGCUCGGGACGCGCGCCGGGGGUGGGGUGGGGCGGGGCGGCAGGAGCCCGCCGUGGCGCUCCGAGAUGCGGGGACCGUGCGAGCCCCCACCCCAUUCGCUAGGCGACGGCGGCGACCGGGAGGAGCCUGCGGGCACUCCGGAACUGGAAGGAGCUUGUUGCUGUCACGAUUUGCAUUUUCACUGCACUGCUGUCCUUAAAAAGGAAUUACCCCGGUGCCCUUCAGAGUCCUGUGAAAAGUCUCAGACCGACAGGCUGCCCUAGAUUUCACUGAUUAUCCUAAGUCCCCAAACAUGUGGUUCUGGGGAGCAUUUUAAGGAAUUAUUAGCAGGGCCCAGGGAAAGGCCCUCACAUAAUACAUUCAAAACUAAAUUUUCAGAGUUUUUGUUUCCAGAUUAGAGCACCAAAAACAUGGGAAGGUAGCAAUCUGGGAACUUAAAACGUGGGGCAUGAAUGUUAAAAUGAGACCUGUCGGGUAUAUUUGAAACUGGUAAUGUUUAGUUUCGUGGACUUUUUGAAGGCCUGUUACACCAUUCACAGAUAACUGGUCCCUUAUGUGAAUUUGGAAGAUGUUAGUUGAAUAAAUAAAUGAAAUGCAUAAGGCACCAAGCUAGGAGAUUUUAUUAAAAAUAAAAAACCGCAAAACAAAUUGUUCUUAUCCUCCAGAAGCUGUUUUCCUAUACAGCCAUAUGUGUACACAUACGUGAUGGAAGAAUGUGUUAUGAGCCAUGAGAGAUGUACAAAGUGCUGGGAAGAGAGGAGCGUGCAUAUGGAUGUGCAAGAUAAGUGUCUAUCAAAAUUUGAAGAACUGAAAAACAGGAUUCAAGUCAUAGGUUGGUGCAAAAGUAGUUGCGGCUUUUGCCAUUGCAAGUAAUGGCAAAAACCGCAAUUACUUUUGCACCAACCUAAGACACUUUUGUAAAAGGAGUAUACAUUUAUAAAAUUGGUAGAAAAAGCAGUUUAGCAAUGAGUAUCAACAAAAAUUUGUAAACUUUUCUCAAGUCACCUAACUAAAAAUGGGGAUAAUGGGAAUAAUCCAAAAUAUUAAAUAUCUACUAGGUUUGACUAUACAAACUUGUCAUUUUUAUGGGUCAAAAUGCUUAAUAUUGGUAAUUUCACAUAUGCACAAAAGAUAGUCAUUGUAUCAUAAUUUGUGAUUGUGAAAAAAUGGGAAAAUAGUGCACAACAUUAGAGGAACGAUUAAACUGUGGCACAAACUUUAAUGUUAGUCCUUUGUAAUUUUUAAAAAUUGAGGUAUAAUUUGCAUACAGUAAAUUCCACAGACUUAGGUGACAUUUAGCAGUUGAUAAAUGUCAUUUAGCAACUUGAUGACAUUUAGCAGUUGUAUAUACCACCCAGUCAAGAUCUAGAACAUUUUCAUUGCUCCAGAAAGUUAUUUUGUGCCAGUUUUCCAGACAAUCCACCACCACCCCAAGGCAACUAUUUUCUCUUUUUUUUUUUGAGACGGAGUCUUGCUCUGUCACCCAGGCUGGAGUGCAGUGGUGCAGUCUCAGCUCACUGUGUCCUCUGCCUCCCGGGUUCAAGCAAUUCUCCUGCCUCAGCCUCCUGAGUAGCUGGGAUUACAGGUGUCUGCCACCACGCCUGGCUAAUUUUUGUAUUUUUAGUAGAGACGGGGUUUCACCAUAUUGGCCAAGCUGGUCUCGAACUCCUCACCUUGUGAUCUGCCCGCCUCGGCCUCCCAACGUGCUAGGAUUACAGGCGUGAGCCACCGCGCCCGGCCAACUAUUUUCAAAUUUCAAUGACCAUAGAUUAGUUUUGUCUUUUUUUGAACUUCAUGUAAAUGGAGACCUACAAUAUGCAUUGCCUUGUGUCUUUCUUCUGCUUUGCGUCUGACUUCAAUAUCAAUGAGAUUCAUCCAUGCUGUUGUAUCAGUAAUUAGUUGCUUUUAAUUGUUGAAUAGUAUUCCAUUGUAUGACCAUACCACAAGCGGUCAUCCAUUCUAUUAAUGGCCAUUUGCUUUGCUUAUAGUUUUUGGCUAUUAUGCAUAGGGCGUUAUGAACAUUCUUGUAUAAGACCUUGUGUGGACAUAAUUUUUAUCCCUGUUGGGGAAAGUAUCUGGGUCAAAUUGCUGAAUCAUAUGGUAGCUUAACUUUAGACACUGCUGAAUUGUUUUUCCAAAGCGACUGCACCCUUUCACACUCUUAGCAAUAGAUGAGCGUUUCGGUUGUUCCACAUCCUUGCCAAAUUUUGAUAUUUUCAGUCCUCAUAAAAUGGUACCUUAUUGUGAUUUUUAACAUAACAUUUCCCUGAUGCCUAAUGAUGUUGACUAACUUUUCAUGUAUUACUAUUACCAGCCAUAUUGAAUACAAUAACAUAUGUAAAGCACUUAGCACAGUGCCUGGCCUAUGAUAGGAGUAUAAUGAAUGUCAGUUCUAACUACAGGUUGGAUAGCAUCCACUUUUCCUUGGAUGUGACACCUGUUGUUUUAUUUUCCAAAGCAUUCCCUUUCUUUUGGUCUCAGCACCCUAGUUUUCCAUGGGCAGUGGCUCUUCUCUGCUCUCAGUCCAUGCGGUUUGGAGAGACUGAUCGCUCUGCAGACCACAGGCAUGGGCAUGUCACCCAAUCAGAGUUAAUGAGCAGCCGGGCGCGGUGGCUCACGCCUGUAAUCCCAGCACUUUGGGAGGCCAAGGAGGGCGGAUCACUUGAGGUCGGGAGUUGGAGACCAGUCUAGAGAAACCCCGUCUCUACUAAAAAUACAAAAUUAGCUGGGUGUGGUGGCACAUGCCUGUAAUCCCCGCUACUUGGGAGGCUGAGACAGGAGGACUGCUUGAACCCAGGAGGUGGAGGUUGCGGUGAGCUG